UCUUUGGUUAUCAAGCUGUAUGAUUGAUUUGAAAUUUCAUAAAGCUAGGUUACCAAAGCUA
rnacentral:pre_miRNA from 1 species